UACGUAGGUGGCGAGCGUUGUCCAGAUUUACUGGGCGUAAAGGGAGCGUAGGCGGACUUUUAAGUGAGAUGUGAAAUACCCGGGCUCAACUUGGGUGCUGCAUUUCAAACUGGAAGUCUAGAGUGCAGGAGAGGAGAAUGGAAUUCCUAGUGUAGCGGUGUAAUGCGUAGAGAUUAGGAAGAACACCAGUGGCGAAGGCGAUUCUCUGGACUGUAACUGACGCUGAGGCUCGAAAGCGUGGGGAGCAAACAGGAUUAGAUA
rnacentral:rRNA from 1 species